CUCUCUCUCCGAGAUGGAAGAGAGAGAAAAGCUCUCAUGGAUGAAGAAGAAAACGAGCCAGAAGUGGCUUCUAGGAAAUAGUAAUGACAAAAAUCAAGCAACUACAACUCCCCUUGCAUCAUGUUGUUUCACCAAGUCCCCUCGUCGUUGCUGUUGUGGCGUUAUCCUAUCUGAGCUUUAAUACGGUAUUUUCUUUUUUUUUAUCAUCUCUUUCAUCCAUAUUCUCACAUCAUUUUGUGUUUUUUCUUGACCUUGUAAGGCCUUUUCUUGACCUUGUAAGACCCCGUCCCAUAUAUGUCGCCUCUGUCUCUCAUCUCUGUGUCCAAUCUUUCUGUGUCGUCGUGUCUUCUAAAUGUUUAUCGAGUUCGUCUUCUCCUCCCUUGUCUAUCCCUCCUGAGCUAGUCUCUUUCGGAAAUAUAAUAUCCACAAUGUUGUUGUAUCGUAUGUAUGUAUGAUAGUUUUCUUAUAUGUUUUGUGAUUUCCACAAUAAAUAAAAGUGUCGAUACAUGUCGGUUAUAUUUCCCGUAUGAAUACACGAGCCUGUUUGCAUU